rnacentral:rRNA from 1 species
ACACGGUCCAGACUCCUACGGGAGGCAGCAGUAGGGAAUAUUGCGCAAUGGGGGAAACCCUGACGCAGCAACGCCGCGUGGAGGAUGACACUUUUCGGAGCGUAAACUCCUUUUCUUAGGGAAGAAUUCUGACGGUACCUAAGGAAUAAGCACCGGCUAACUCCGUGCCAGCAGCCGCGGUAAUACGGAGGGUGCAAGCGUUACUCGGAAUCACUGGGCGUAAAGGGCGCGUAGGCGGAUUAUCAAGUCUCUUGUGAAAUCUAAUGGCUUAACCAUUAAACUGCUUGGGAAACUGAUAGUCUAGAGUGAGGGAGAGGCAGAUGGAAUUGGUGGUGUAGGGGUAAAAUCCGUAGAUAUCACCAAGAAUACCCAUUGCGAAGGCGAUCUGCUGGAACUCAACUGACGCUAAGGCGCGAAAGCGUGGGGAGCAAACAGGAUUAGAUACCCUGGUAGUCCACGCCCUAAACGAUGUACACUAGUUGUUGGGGUGCUAGUCAUCUCAGUAAUGCAGCUAACGCAUUAAGUGUACCGCCUGGGGAGUACGGUCGCAAGAUUAAAACUCAAAGGAAUAGACGGGGACCCGCACAAGCGGUGGAGCAUGUGGUUUAAUUCGAAGAUACGCGAAGAACCUUACCUGGGCUUGAUAUCCUAAGAACCUUUUAGAGAUAAGAGGGUGCUAGCUUGCUAGAACUUAGAGACAGGUGCUGCACGGCUGUCGUCAGCUCGUGUCGUGAGAUGUUGGGUUAAGUCCCGCAACGAGCGCAACCCACGUAUUUAGUUGCUAACGGUUCGGCCGAGCACUCUAAAUAGACUGCCUUCGUAAGGAGGAGGAAGGUGUGGACGACGUCAAGUCAUCAUGGCCCUUAUGCCCAGGGCGACACACGUGCUACAAUGGCAUAUACAAUGAGACGCAAUACCGCGAGGUGGAGCAAAUCUAUAAAAUAUGUCCCAGUUCGGAUUGUUCUCUGCAACUCGAGAGCAUGAAGCCGGAAUCGCUAGUAAUCGUAGAUCAGCCAUGCUACGGUGAAUACGUUCCCGGGUCUUGUACUCACCGCCCGUCACACCAUGGGAGUUGAUUUCACUCGAAGCCGGAAUACUAAACUAGUUACCGUCCACAGUGGAAUCAGCGACUGGGGUGAAGUCGUAACAAGGUAACCGUAGGAGAACCUGCGGUUGGAUCACCUCCUUUCUA